AUUGAACGCUGGCGGCAUGCCUUACACAUGCAAGUCGAACGGCAGCACGGGUGCUUGCACCUGGUGGCGAGUGGCGAACGGGUGAGUAAUACAUCGGAACAUGUCCUGUAGUGGGGGAUAGCCCGGCGAAAGCCGGAUUAAUACCGCAUACGAUCUACGGAUGAAAGCGGGGGACCUUCGGGCCUCGCGCUAUAGGGUUGGCCGAUGGCUGAUUAGCUAGUUGGUGGGUAAAGGCCUACCAAGGCGACGAUCAGUAGCUGGUCUGAGAGGACGACCAGCCACACUGGGACUGAGACACGGCCCAGACUCCUACGGGAGGCAGCAGUGGGGAAUUUUGGACAAAGGGCGAAAGCCUGAUCCAGCAAUGCCGCGUGUGUGAAGAAGGCCUUCGGGUUGUAAAGCACUUUUGUCCGGAAAGAAAUCCUUGGCCCUAAUACGGUCGGGGGAUGACGGUACCGGAAGAAUAAGCACCGGCUAACUACGUG
rnacentral:rRNA from 1 species